rnacentral:rRNA from 1 species
UACGAAGGGUGCAAGCGUUAAUCGGAAUUAUUGGGCGUAAAGCGCACGCAGGCGGUUCGCCAAGUUUGGAGUGACAGUUGUCGGCUCAACCGACAAAGGACUUCAAAAACUGGUGAACUUGAGGACGAGAGAGGAACAUGGAACUCCAGGUGUAGUAGUGAAAUGCGUAGAUAUCUGGAAGAACACCAAUGGCGAAGGCAAUGUUCUGGCUCGUUUCUGACGCUCAGGUGCGAAAGCCAGGGGAGCGAACGGG